UCAAUUAUUUUCAAUAAAAUAAAACAAGGUUACUUACUUGAUUAAAAUACUUAACGAUUUUCAUUGAUGGAAGCGCAGUAGGUUUCGUAUAUCUGUAUCCUUUAUUUGUUAGUAUAAAAUCGACUUCUAAAAAAUGUUCAGAGCAUA